AAGAACGGGAACAUAUGAAUAGAAAAGAAAGCUGAAAUUGAAGAGCAGUGAAGAUGCGAGUACUCCUAUGGACUAUGCAGCAAGAAAUGCAGUAGCUGCUUUUGUGCCCUUCAGGGGUGCCGCUUCUACAUUUGCAGAGUGCCAGACCCUGAUGAAGAUGACUAGAGAGGACAUGUUCAGUGAGAUCCUGCAAGCCAAUGCUGCAUCAGACUGCAAAGGGC